UUAAAUUAAAAUCAUUUUGAAAUAAAAACAAAAGAAGAUGCUGAAAUUUGACCUGGAUGUGUAUAUUUUUUCGCUACUAUAACCUUUAAACUAUUUUUCUCAACAGAGUUCACUUCAUGGAUGUUCAGUCCUGAGCGCAUCAGGAGUGUUUCCCAUCAUGCAGCAGCACGCCGGUGACGUGAGUGUGUCACUGUGGCUGAAAUCACGUCAGUUGAUUGGCCUGGUCCUUCAGCUCCAGCGGAGGAAAUCUCAGGGAGGCAAAAGAACAACAGAGCUAAUUAGCCGCGCGGAGCUGACAGAGCGAAGCCAAAUGGCUGCCAGCCAAACCCAGCAGAGGAAGGAGACCCAAUGUUCAGCAGGAUCGAUGGAGGAGACCACUUCAUUAAAGACCCCCUGGAACAGACUGAGAGAGAGAGGCUCUGUUUAAUUAAGUCUGCGCUUCAGGGUCUAACAGCAGCCGUACAGUCGCUGCUGUCACUGAUUUGGCCCUUCUCUAGUGUGGCUCUCUUCUCCACACCAGGGGCCUCCUGGAAGUGUAAACGUGUGUGGGAAUUACACUCAUUCUGGUGACCUGAAGCUAUACAUCAGUCUAUAGCGUUGCACCAUGGUAGAUAUGUGCCAGCCUAUGCCUUGUGUCCAUCAGGUUCCAAAAAAAUAAUUACAUCAAAUGAGAUUAAGUAGGCAACUUUCCAUUUAUAAAGUACUGAAGACAUCAUGGUCUUAAGUGCAAAUGGAGACACUGUGAACUUGUGUCCUAAUCCAGCGCAAAGCAACAGGUGGAUGUUCAUUUAUGCUUCAAACAAAUGCUGUUCUCUUCUAUUCAUCAAAGAAUACUGCAAAAAAUCAUGUAUUAUGGUUAACACAAAAAUAUGAAUCUGCAUGACUGUUUUGAAGAUAAUCAGAAAUGUUUCUUGAGGAGAAAAUCAGCAUAUUAGAAUGAUUUCUGAAGAUCAUGUGACACUGAAGACUGGAGUAAUGAUGCUGAAAAUACAGCUGCGCAUCACAGAAAUAAAUGACAUUUUACAACAAAUACA
ensembl:lncRNA